ensembl:lncRNA
GGAAACCCCCACGGAGAGGGAGGGGGUGGUGUGGACAGACCCACGGCAGCGACGCAGGACAGGUCAAGUGCACCCGUAGGCGUGCUCGGGACGUGCCUCACCAUAACGCCGGCGUCACGGUGACUAACACAGCGGUGCCCUGGUGCAAACGUCCACUUGUUCACCCGUCUGCUCAGCCCCCAAAUGUCUCCUCCUCAUCAUGGACAGCGGGCUCUCUGCUGGAUCUGUCAGCUCAUGGGCACGACAGCCACUCUCCCAGCGUCUCUGCAGUGACUGUCUGAGGUUCUCUUCACCCCGGCCGGGGCCCCAACAUAACCUGGGGAUCAGCGAUCGUGCUGGACUUUGGGCCCCUAAACAAGAAUAAAUCUGCAUAUCUUCCAUCCAUUGGCAGUUAAAGUUUAGUCUCAAAACAGAUCUCUUUCUACAACUGACAAGAAACACAGACCCUGGGCUCCUGCCUCGAAAAUGGAGAAGAGCGGGGCUCCUAUCACCUGACGAUGAGCGAAGUCUAGAAUUCAUGACCACCUACCUUCAGCAUCGCUCACCUGACCCUCCUCACUCCAGUGGACACCAGACGUGUUUCCAUGGUUGGAGUGAAGGUGAUCUCGCCUCAUCCGCCCCUCUCCUGCAGCAUGCUGAGUGAGUGUGGAGAGGGACCGGGGAAGCAAGAGUCUCAGGAGCUGUGAAGCAUCCUCCCCUCCAACCCCGCACUGCCCGAGGACCCACAUGAGCCCUGGUGUGCGACUCUCCACACACUUGAAGACACGCUGGAACCUCCUCUGCCCUGCUUGAACUCAAGGUUCCGUGGACUCUGCCCUCUAGCGCUCUUACUUAAAGCGGAGAUUCGAGCAGGAAGACACUGCCAUCUGGGAGACGACACCCGCUUGGUGAUGCCCAAGUCUCGGAAGGUCCUUGCAUUCCUACCCCCCACCAUAGUUUUAUCAAGCGUCCAUGGCCCCAGGCUCACUCAUCGCCCCGCGCAGAAGAGCAGCUCUGUCUCCCAUCAAAACCAUGCUCAGGCCGGCUCCCAUCCUGGACCGGAGCAGAGCAUCUCCGCUCUUCACGCCUCCAGCUCCGCAGCGCCCUGCAGACCCCCUUCCUUCACACGGCCAUCUUCCUCCAUAUCCACGGACGCGCCUUGAGGGCAUGUGGACUACGCUGACCACCCAGCUUCUCUCCUCCCCCAGGUCCCAUCAUAGACUGCCCCCACCCCACUCCUCUCACAAAGAACCUGCAUGCCCAGCUCUAGUAAGAGGGACCCUGUGCUGACCUCGGUUUCGGGGCCUUACUGCGGGGGAGUCUGGGGCCAGCUGACCUCUGCUUCUGCCUCCUCCUCCCUGGGGGACCACCUGACGGGUCUCCUCGAGGAGAUGCUGGGAAGAUACUGCAGAGCGAGAGCUGGCUGCCAGGGCUGGCGGGAACCACCGAGCUGAUUUCAGCUUUUCCCACUUUCACUGUGCUUUGCCAAAGGUCUUGAGCUCCUAAACAAAACCCCUGGCAUCCUUAUGCUGCAACGGCAGUCAGUGCCAUCAGAGGUUCAGGCUGGAAUGUGGCCUGAGGGAGGAAGAGAGGAAAAAAUAGGCCUUUGAUGUGGGUGCUUUCCUGGUGGCUCAGAUGGUAAAGAAUCCGCCUGCAAAUAGGAGACCCAGGUUCAACUCCUGAGUUGGGAAGAUGCCCUGGAGGAGAGCUCAGCAACCCACUCCAGGGUUCUUGCCUGGGGAUUUCCGUGGACAGAGGAGCCUGGCAGGCUUACAGUCCACAGGGUGGCAAAGAGUCAGACAUGACUGAGUGACUAACACCUUCACUUUCAUGUGGACACGUGGACGUUUGUGGCAUCUGUUCUGUGCCUGAAAUCAAUUCCUAUUCCCUUCAUCUGGCAGUUAAUCUUCCUCUACCAGUAAUGCAAGUUCUCUUCCAGGAACUGGAGAACGCUUUUCAGAAGCAGAUUUUGUGUGCUCCAGGAAAUCCUGGUGUGUAACAUGAAAUAAAUGUUUUGAACUCAAAUGGUGAGUGAGCCUUUCAGAAGACUCUUUUUAGCUGGGGAGGUCAGAGUCAGCCUUUUGGAGGAAAGUGAUGGAAACGCAGCUUGGACCCCACAGGACACUGGCAGCCCCUGGUCACGUCCCUGGGCUUCUGCGUCCACUCCGAGCUCUUUGGUGGCAAACCAGCUGCUUCUGGA